rnacentral:rRNA from 1 species
UACGUAGGGGGCAAGCGUUGUCCGGAUUUAUUGGGCGUAAAGAGCGUGUAGGCGGCCAUGUAGGUCCGUUGUGAAAACUCGAGGCUCAACCUCGAGACGCCGAUGGAAACCAUAUGGCUAGAGUCCGGAAGAGGAGAGUGGAAUUCCUGGUGUAGCGGUGAAAUGCGCAGAUAUCAGGAAGAACACCCGUGGCUAAGGCGGCUCUCUAGUACGGUACUGGACGCUGAGACGCGAAAGCGUGGGGAGCGAACAGG